rnacentral:rRNA from 1 species
UACGUAGGGUGCGAGCGUUAAUCGGAAUUACUGGGCGUAAAGCGUGCGCAGGCGGUUCGUUAAGUCAGAUGUGAAAGCCCCGGGCUCAACCUGGGAACUGCAUUUGAAACUGGCGGGCUUGAGUAUGGCAGAGGGGGGUGGAAUUCCUGGUGUAGCGGUGAAAUGCGCAGAUAUCAGGAAGAACACCAAUGGCGAAAGCAGCUUUCUGGGACGGUACUGACGCUGAGACGCGAAAGCGUGGGGAGCGAACAGG